UACGUAGGGGGCAAGCGUUGUCCGGAAUCAUUGGGCGUAAAGCGCGUGUAGGCGGUUCGGUAAGUCGGCUGUGAAAGUCAAGGGCUCAACCCUUGAAAGCCGGUUGAUACUGUCGGGCUAGAGUCCGGAAGAGGCGAGUGGAAUUCCCGGUGUAGCGGUGAAAUGCGCAGAUAUCGGGAGGAACACCAAUGGCGAAGGCAGCUCGCUGGGACGGUACUGACGCUGAGACGCGAAAGCGUGGGGAGCAAACAGG
rnacentral:rRNA from 1 species